rnacentral:rRNA from 1 species
GACGAACGCUGGCGGCGUGCUUAACACAUGCAAGUCGAGCGGAAAGGCCACUUCGGUGGUACUCGAGCGGCGAACGGGUGAGUAACACGUGAGUAAUCUGCCCUUGGCUUUGGGAUAGCCACCGGAAACGGUGAUUAAUACCGGAUAUGACCACUCUAGGCAUCUAGUGGUGGUGGAAAGUUUUUCGGCCAGGGAUGUGCUCGCGGCCUAUCAGCUUGAUGGUGAGGUAAUGGCUCACCAUGGCUUCGACGGGUAGCCGGCCUGAGAGGGUGACCGGUCACACUGGGACUGAGACACGGCCCAGACUCCUACGGGAGGCAGCAGUGGGGAAUAUUGGACAAUGGGCGGAAGCCUGAUCCAGCAACGCCGCGUGAGGGAUGACGGCCUUCGGGUUGUAAACCUCUUUCGGUAGGGACGAAGCGUGAGUGACGGUACCUACUAAAGAAGCACCGGCCAACUACGUGCCAGCAGCCGCAGUAAGAC